rnacentral:lncRNA from 1 species
GCGAAAAUGGCCACUGCGACACUGCAACCCCUCCACCACCAUGGCGGCAGCGCUGCCCCUCUACUAAUUCCCUGGCUCCGCCUCCACCCCCUCCCCUCUGCUGCCAACCGCACUGCCUUGUCUUCAACCGCCGCUAUGGGUGGAUGUAAGAGACAUACAAUCCACAGCCAGCUUCCCCCUUCUUCGCUCUCACUCGCUCGCUGCCAAGGUCCUGUUCCCCUGUUGCUCUGACACACCAUGGCUCCACUUCUCUGCACCUUUGACGAGUGGAUGGACCCUGCCGAUAAAGCCCUUUCUGGCGGCCAUGGAAUGUUAGUGCUUCUUCCACUCCCCCAUUCCGCUAAAUUGUUAGGGUACUUUCUAUUUAGUUAAUACAAAUCUAUAUUUGUCACGUUAUCACAACUUAGAUGCUUAAUUAACUUAUCAUAAAUCACUUGUGCCAAAUAACAAUGUUUUCAAGAGUUGUUGAAAAACAACUCCUAUUAUUUAUGUUUUCCACAGCAGAUUGAUAGGGACAAAAACAAGACAUUAAUGGCAAUACAAAAUAGUUAUUAGUACUGAUGCUCAUUAAGACAUGGAAGGUCAUGAAGGAUUUUUUUUGUUAUUACUGAAUUAGAUAUCUCGUGAGGGCAAUCUGACAUGAGGAGUUCGAUUUCUAAAACUGCCAUUUCCAAAGUGGUUGUCAACAGUACUAACCAAACUAUGUGUAAUAAAACCUUUAUCCUGUUAGUCUGUCAUCAAUUUCCUCUAUAAACUAGGAGCAUACCCCGCGCGUUGCUGCAGGAAUUACGGAUUAGUAGAUUGUGUAGUAUGAUCAUAUGGGCUAUACUUAUUUGUCUUGCUGACGUGGAUAAUCACAGUUGCUAUGUGUGCUAUUGAAUUUUAAUUGUAUAUGUGGUAGUGCAUUAUUACAUAUUGAGAUAAAUAAUUAUUGAUGUUUUACUUAGUGGAUUUUAAUUGAAUAUGGUAGUGCAUUGCUUAGGUGGAUAGCUUGCAUGCUUAGAGAAAUAUUUAGUGGGGUUUAGGAUUAUAAGAGUUAUAGAUUACAUGCCCUGGUUGCUUACUUUCUAGAACUCCUAGAUCUGGGAUUAGGAGGCCUUUGGAAUUCCAUCAUGUCCUUCUGGAGUCCUUUUGUGGCUCACAUGCAUCACUCGACCUUGAAAAGAUUAUGCUAAUUUGAAAGUGACAGCAUGCGAUCACGUCCUUUUGUAGCACUGCAAUCUGGGAUUAGGUGACAGCAUGUGGCUAGCAUGAAUCUUAAUUUACUUGAUGAUAGCCUCGCAACGAUGUGAUCGAUCAUCGUGAGGCGUGGGGAUGGGAAGAGCUAUGAUUAUUGCACUGUAUUCUGAGUUUAGGUGGUGCUUGGAAUUCAUGCACUAAGGACUUCCAAAGGGACAAGCUUUUCUAUGUCUCAUAACACAACUGUUCCAAGCAACGGGGAUAAUGGGACAUACACUAACAAAGAAGCUCUGUAUAGGCAGUUCGUAAGCUAUUUCUACAAGUGUUUUUUAGAACCGCCAGCGCUAGGGUUCAAUGAAAAUGGAUCUUUCUACUGGCGGUUAACUGAGAACCGCCUGUUCUGCUAACAACCGCAAGUACAAAUAGAUUUUCACAAACGGUUCUCUUAGCCAACCGCCAAUGGAAAUUGAUUUUCACAGGGGUCCUAAGUCAGCCGGCAGUAGAAACUGACUUCCAUAGGCGGAUCCCUUAUGAAAAUCUAUUUCCACUAUCCGUGGCUUAAGCCAAUCGCUAGUGACAAUUUUUUCAAAUUUUCUCACCACACCCUAUUCCAUAUUUAUAUAUUGAUAUUAAAACUAGUAAACCCUAUUAGAUCAUAAAAUAUAUUUAUGUCAUACAUUUAUGUAGAUAAAGGUUUGUUCUCACAAACAUAAAGUUUAAGUCAGCAGGCCCCAACGAUAGGUCACUGGAUUUUUUUUUUUAUCGAUUAACCCAGAGACAGGCAUAUGACCCGCUCUAUAGUUCCUGAUUAACGUAGACAAUUUGAGGCAGCAGGCAGGCAGGAUGCUGGCCUGCUUUAACUGUUUUUUUUCAUCUGGCAAAAUGCAGACUGUAGUAGUAGACCCUAAGCAUAAAAUCUUGAGGGCCAAGUCCCCAAGCACUAGUAGCCUCAUAAGAAGAUGAUUUUCAAUACUGAAAGAAAGAGUAGUAAUUUCGAUAAAUGACGAACCAUGUAUUUAUCAAACACAAUAAAUUGAGGUGGGCAAUGCGCGUGCCUGCAUGCCAUCAGCAAAAUAUAUAUCUUCUCUGUCUGUUUUGGUGCCACGAAGGGUUUGUCGAUAUCGUUCUUUAUUGUGACACACUUACUCAUAAUAGGUCAGGCUGUGAACAGCAAGGUUACAGCAAAUCAUGCUAAAUAAGGUGCAAGGAUGAUUCAGAAUACAAAUAUGCCCACAUGACCAUGACUGUCUCCCCAUUUAUUUGUUCCACCGCGAAGCUCUUGCAUGCAAGGCAUAUAUAUGCAAGGAAUGGAACAUUGUCUCAUAUCUCUUGUACACCAGCCUGGUCUCUUCGCUACCAUGCCAUUACCAUGGCAUGCCGCACUAACUGCUUACGAGUGUGAGGCAUUAGGAAGCAAGGUCCUGUAUCCUGGUUGAUGCCACAUGUCACUGGAGAUAAUUGUCCACUUGGCCUUGGAACGACAGUGACACUGAGCAAGAAUUCCUGACACCUACUAGAUGAGCAGGCUUUGAGAACCUUUCGAACUGUAAACCUGAUGCAUGAGAUUAGUUCCACUCGCAUUCUUGUGCUAGACGAAUAUAUAUCAUGAAGGGUAUGACUGGUCUGUAGGAGAUCAGCAAUUAAACAUACAAGCCCUAGUUUGGACUGUUGAUCUUGAAAGCCU